rnacentral:rRNA from 1 species
GGUGAACGCUAGCGGCAGGCCUAACACAUGCAAGUCAGGGGUAACAUAGGAAAGCUUGCUUUUCUGAUGACGACCGGCGCACGGGUGCGUAACGCGUAUACAACCUACCUUUUAGCGGGGAAUAGCCCAGGGAAACUUGGAUUAAUGCCCCAUAGUAUAUAGACUUCUCCUGAAGUUUAUAUUAAACAUUUAUGGCUAUUAGAUGGGUAUGCGUCCUAUUAGUUAGUUGGUAAGGUAACGGCUUACCAAGGCAGCGAUAGGUAGGGGUCCUGAGAGGGAGAUCCCCACACUGGUACUGAGACACGGACCAGACUCCUACGGGAGGCAGCAGUAAGGAAUAUUGGACAAUGGGCGAGAGCCUGAUCCAGCCAUGCCGCGUGCAGGAAGACUGCCCUAUGGGUUGUAAACUGCUUUUACAGAGGAAGAACCACCCCCACGUGUGGGGGUUUGACGGUACUCUGCGAAUAAGGAUCGGCUAACUCCGUG